UAACUACCUACCCUUGCUGAAGAGUUGACAGAUUUUCAAAUCUACAGAUUGUGACAUAUAAGAAUGUGUGAAACCUGAAUGGUGGAUAAAGAUUGCGAAUUUGCACAGCUAUAAAGCUUACUAAUUAAAGACUACAAACACAAAGAGAGCAAGCCUUGUGAUGACUGCACAAUAACGAGGAUUCAGAUACAACGUGGUCGCCACCUGACGCCCACCUCCACAAAAAGCCAUUCUCAAAAGGAGAGAGACAUUCAUAUCCAGAAGAGGGAGUCGGCUGUAGGGUAGAGCACUUCAAAUGCAUCAAAGGUCCAGAGAGAAGCUUCUUCUGGUCACCUUGAUCUUGUGAUGCAAGGCAGGUGGGAGCAAGGGCUCCACCUCUGCAGACACAGAGAUGACGGGGUCGCCAUGCCGGCGUUUUAGUCCCGGUUUCCUCUGCUCGAGUAGUUGGUGGCCUCCUGCCUGUUCCCUAACAUAACUUCACUUUCCUUACCUGCAAAACGAAAUUAGUAUUUCCUCCCUCACAAGGUGCUUGAUGCCCUUCCCCUUGCGUUUACUUUGCCUGAGAGACUAUAUCAUAUCUAUGAUUUUGUGAAUGGGGCAAAAGGAAUUGAGAGUGUCAGGGUAUACCUUAUAAAUAAGCCACUAAAGGUUACAUCCUCAUUCCACAAACUGACCUAAACAAUUUGGCUGUCACUAAUAGAUUAUUUUGGUCAGUUAUGGCAUUUAGAGGGAGAAGAGAGAGUAUAUAUAUAUGGGUGGGGUGUGUGUGUAUGCGUGUGUAUGUGUGUGUUUACAGUCAAAAUACCAAAAUAUAUCUAUGUAUAUAAAUAUAUUUGCUUUCUUUGUUUUUGUUACAAUAAACUUGUACAUACAAUUCUGACACACAUAUUUUCAUAUGUAGGCACAAAAAUAGUCAUACAAAAAAUACCACAAAAGGUAAUAACAAAGUGGAAGAAGACAUAGGAACAGAGAACAAACCAACACAUAGAAAAAGUAACAAACAUGGUAGAUACGAAUCCAGCUAUAUCAAUAAUCGCGUUAAACAUCAAUGGUCUUAAAUAUACUAGACAGUGGAAUAUUAUUCAGCAUUGAAAAGAAAUGACCUAUCAAGCCAUGAAAGACAAGGAGGAACCUUAAAUGCAUGUUACUGAGUGAAAGAAGCCAAUCUGAAAAGGCUGCAUCCUGCAGGAUUCUGACUCUAUGACAUUCUGGAAAAGGUAAAACUACUAAGACAGUGAAAAGAUCAGUAGCUGCCAGGGGUUACGGGAAGGGGAUGAUGAAUAAGUGGGGCACAGCAUUUUGAGGAGGUGAAACUACUCUGUAGGAUACUGUAACAGUAAAUCCAUGUCAUUAUAUGUUUGUACACACCCAUAGAACACCAGGAGGACAGCACCAAGAGGGAGCCCUAGUGUGAACUGUGGACUCUGGUUGGUAAUGAUGUGCCUGUGAAGCUUCAUUGUUUGCAGCAAAUGCAUCAGUGUGGUGGGGGAUGUUUCUAAAUUGAUAAUGAAGGACGCCAUAGGUGUAUGGGGGCAGAGAGUUUAUGAGAAAUCUGUACCUUUUGCUCAAUUUUACUGAACAUAAAACUGCUGAAGCCAUCAUUCUCAGCAAACUAACCCAGGAGCAGAAAACCAAACGCCGCAUGUUCUCACUCAUAAGUGGGAGUUGAACAAUGAGAACACAUGGACACAGGGAGGGGAACAUCGUCACACACCGGAGCCUGUCGCAGGGUGGGGAGCUGGGGGAGGGAGAGCAUUAAGACAAAUACCUAAUGCAUGUGGGGCUUAAAACCUAGAUGAUAGGUUGAUAGGUGCAGCAAACCACCAUGGCACAUGUAUACCUAUGUAACAAACCUGCACAUUCUGCACAUGUAUCCCAGAACUUAAAGUAAAAUAUAUUAAAAAAAUUAAAGUCUAUUUUAAAAAAAGAAAAACAAUCAGCUAACCUACUUUGGUAGCUCUGUUCUGCGCUGUCGGGUCUUCCAUCCUAGCGUGUGACACAGGAGGGUUUCGCUGGCAGGACCCGCCCACUGCACAUGCAGGUUCAGGUGACAGAGACCUCUGGAAAGAUGAGGCCCGUGGGAGCAGGGGGCUUCUUGUUGACACUGAAGGUCAGGCUUCAGGAAUGCCAGGGGCUCAUAAAAUCUUUUUCACUGAACAUUAUGCUGAGCAGGAUUCAUUUUACCAGUGAAAAAAUAUUUCUGACAUCCUUUGUGCUUUUUAACAAAGCCUGUGGUGUGGAUUUGCAUGAUUCUUAGAUUGCUGAGUAACCACUUCGGGAGGGUUCUUGAUUAGGGCACUAAAAAUGUUAACACAACACCCGUGGGAUGUAGAUUAAGGUCAACUUGUCCUUGUGCGUCUCUCCUAGUGUUGAUGGCAGAGUCUUAGUAUUUCAGCUGACGAAAUCUCUGCCCAUUCUCUUCCAAUGUUCCCUAAUAAGCUACAGGAGGACAGAGACAAAAGUUUGACUUCAUUAGUAACUUUUGGAAGUUGCCCAAUUUAGGAAAAAGAGUUAAUAAAUCAGGAAUUUUAUAAGAACUUUUUGUUAAAUCUGUAGUUAUUCAAAUCAGCCUCAGCAUGAUAAGACAACACUACAGGUUAUUAUAAAUAGUUGAAAAAGAAAAAUUAAAUUCCAACCAAACAAUUGAUCCUUAACUUUUUUUUUUUUUGAGA
rnacentral:lncRNA from 1 species